CCUACGGGAGGCAGCAGUGGGGAAUAUUGCACAAUGGGCGCAAGCCUGAUGCAGCCAUGCCGCGUGUGUGAAGAAGGCCUUCGGGUUGUAAAGCACUUCCAGCGGGGAGGAAGGCGGUGAGGUUAAUAACCUCAUCGAUUGACGUUACCCGCAGAAGAAGCACCGGCUAACUCCGUGCCAGCAGCCGCGGUAAUACGGAGGGUGCAAGCGUUAAUCGGAAUUACUGGGCGUAAAGCGCACGCAGGCGGUCUGUCAAGUCGGAUGUGAAAUCCCCGGGCUCAACCUGGGAACUGCAUUCGAAACUGGCAGGCUAGAGUCUUGUAGAGGGGGGUAGAAUUCCAGGUGUAGCGGUGAAAUGCGUAGAGAUCUGGAGGAAUACCGGUGGCGAAGGCGGCCCCCUGGACAAAGACUGACGCUCAGGUGCGAAAGCGUGGGGAGCAAACAGGAUUAGAUACCCCUGUAGUC
rnacentral:rRNA from 1 species